rnacentral:rRNA from 1 species
CCUACGGGAGGCAGCAGUGGGGAAUAUUGGACAAUGGGGGGAACCCUGAUCCAGCGACGCCGCGUGAGUGAAGAAGUAUUUCGGUAUGUAAAGCUCUAUCAGCAGGGAAGAAAGAAAUGACGGUACCUGACUAAGAAGCCCCGGCUAACUACGUGCCAGCCGCCGCGGUAAUACGUAGGGGGCAAGCGUUAUCCGGAUUUACUGGGUGUAAAGGGAGCGUAGACGGCGAUGCAAGUCUGAAGUGAAAGGCGGGGGCACAACCCCUGGACUGCUUUGGAAACUGUAUGGCUGGAGUGCAGGAGAGGAAAGUGGAAUUCCUAGUGUAGCGGUGAAAUGCGUAGAUAUUAGGAGGAACACCAGUGGCGAAGGCGGCUUACUGGACUGUAACUGACGUUGAGGCUCGAAAGCGUGGGGAGCAAACAGGAUUAGAUACCCGAGUAGUC